UGGGGAAUAUUGCACAAUGGGCGAAAGCCUGAUGCAGCGAUGCCGCGUGAGGGAUGACGGCCUUCGGGUUGUAAACCUCUUUCAGCAGGGACGAAGCGCAAGUGACGGUACCUGCAGAAGAAGCACCGGCUAACUACGUGCCAGCAGCCGCGGUAAUACGUAGGGUGCAAGCGUUGUCCGGAAUUACUGGGCGUAAAGAGUUCGUAGGCGGUUUGUCGCGUCGUUUGUGAAAACCAGCAGCUCAACUGCUGGCUUGCAGGCGAUACGGGCAGACUUGAGUACUGCAGGGGAGACUGGAAUUCCUGGUGUAGCGGUGAAAUGCGCAGAUAUCAGGAGGAACACCGGUGGCGAAGGCGGGUCUCUGGGCAGUAACUGACGCUGAGGAACGAAAGCGUGGGUAGCGAACAGG
rnacentral:rRNA from 1 species